rnacentral:rRNA from 1 species
AUUCCAGCUCCAAUAGCGUAUAUUAAAGUUGUUGCGGUAAAAAAGCUCGUAGUUGGAUUUCUGUUGCGAAUGGCCGGUCUUCACUACGUGAAUGCAUCUGGUUCAAUCGUGGCAUCCUCAUAGGAAACGUUGCUGCGCUUCACUGCGUGGUGCGGUGCCUAUGACUUUUACUUUGAGGAAAUUAGAGUGUUCACGGCAGGCAAUCGCCCUGAAUAUGUUAGCAUGGAAUAAUAAUAUAGGAUCUUGGUUCUAUUUUGUUGGUUUCUAGAGCUAAGAUAAUGGUUAAUAGGAACAAUUGGGGGCAUUUGUAUUAACAUGUCAGAGGUGGAAUUCUUGGAUUAUGUUACGACAAACUACUGCGAAAGCAUUUGCCAAGGAUGUUUUCAUUG